rnacentral:rRNA from 1 species
AGUGAACGCUGGCGGUAGGCCUAACACAUGCAAGUCGAACGGCAGCACAGAGGAGCUUGCUCCUUGGGUGGCGAGUGGCGGACGGGUGAGGAAUACAUCGGAAUCUACUCUGUCGUGGGGGAUAACGUAGGGAAACUUACGCUAAUACCGCAUACGACCUACGGGUGAAAGCAGGGGAUCUUCGGACCUUGCGCGAUUGAAUGAGCCGAUGUCGGAUUAGCUAGUUGGCGGGGUAAAGGCCCACCAAGGCGACGAUCCGUAGCUGGUCUGAGAGGAUGAUAAGCCACACUGGAACUGAGACACGGUCCAGACUCCUAAGGGAGGCAGCAGUGGGGAAUAUUGGACAAUGGGCGCAAGCCUGAUCCAGCCAUACCGCGUGGGUGAAGAAGGCCUUCGGGUUGUAAAGCCCUUUUGUUGGGAAAGAAAUCCAGCCGGCUAAUACCUGGUUGGGAUGACGGUACCCAAAGAAUAAGCACCGGCUAACUUCGUG